rnacentral:rRNA from 1 species
AGCGAACGCUGGCGGCGUGCCUAACACAUGCAAGUCGAACGUGAAAGGGAGCAAUCCCAAGUAAAGUGGCGUACGGGUGAGUAACACGUAGGUAAUCUACCCCAGAAUCUGGAAUAACCGGCCGAAAGGCUGGCUAAUACUGGAUAGAGCGACGGAAUCCGUAAUUGGGUUUUUCGUGAAAGGGAGCCUGUAAAAAGGCCUUCGUUCUGGGAUGAGCCUGCGUCCCAUCAGCUAGUUGGUGAGGUAAAAGCUUACCAAGGCAAUGACGGGUAGCUGGUCUGCGAGGACGGUCAGCCACACUGGAACUGAAACACGGUCCAGACUCAUACGGGAGGCAGCAGUGGGGAAUCUUGAGCAAUGGACGAAAGUCUGACGCAGCAACGCCGCGUGAGCGAAGAAGGCCGUCGGGUUGUAAAGCUCUGUCGAGUGGGACGAAAAUGCUUGGAGUUCACAGCUCCAGGAACUGACGGUACCACUAAAGGAAGCACCGGCUAACUCCGUG